UGAGGAAUAUUGGUCAAUGGACGAGAGUCUGAACCAGCCAAGUCGCGUGAAGGAAGAAGGUUCUAUGGAUUGUAAACUUCUUUUGUAAGGGAAUAAAAAAGAGUACGUGUACUCUAUUGUAUGUACUUUACGAAUAAGGAUCGGCUAACUCCGUGCCAGCAGCCGCGGUAAUACGGAGGAUCCGAGCGUUAUCCGGAUUUAUUGGGUUUAAAGGGUGCGUAGGCGGACUUAUAAGUCAGCGGUGAAAGUUUGCAGCUUAACUGUAAAAUUGCCGUUGAAACUGUUAGUCUUGAGUGUAAAUGAGGUAGGCGGAAUGUGUUGUGUAGCGGUGAAAUGCUUAGAUAUAACACAGAACACCAAUUGCGAAGGCAGCUUACUGGGAUACAACUGACGCUGAGGCACGAAAGCGUGGGGAUCAAACA
rnacentral:rRNA from 1 species